UUUGGCCGGGAUCGCCCCCCGUCAGCGCGUUGCGCCCACGGGGGACAUUGGC
rfam:Pseudopelagicola gijangensis strain DSM 100564 genome assembly, contig: Ga0131178_110